AGCUGAGAUACUGUCUAAGAUAAAUAAUCUCAAAUGGCUUGUGAUGAUCCUGAAGUAUAGAAUUUAAAGAUGCCAAUCAGCUUACAAGGCAUGUCUGGAUUUGGGGAGGAGAAAACUGGAGAACCUGGAGAGACACACAGCAGGCUUUUUGGAGAACACCGUCUUCACUCCUCUCUAAUUACCAGGACCACUUAACCCC